AUUGAACGCUGGCGGCAGGCCUAACACAUGCAAGUCGAGCGGAGCGGCGGACGGGUGAGUAAUGCCUAGGAAUCUGCCCGGUAGUGGGGGAUAACGUCCGGAAACGGGCGCUAAUCCCGCAUCCUAUCAGCUGAGCCUAGGUCGGAUUAGCUAGGUGGUGGGGUAAAGGCCUACCAAGGCGACGAUCCGUAACUGGUCGUAGAGGCGGAUCAGUCACACUGGAACGGAGACACGGUCCAGACUCCUACGGGAGGCAGCAGAGGGGAAUAUUGGACAAGGGGCGAAAGCCUGAUCCAGCCAUGCCGCGUGUGUGAAGAAGUUCUUCGGAUUGUAAAGCACUUUAAGUUGGGAGGCGUUACCAACAGAAUAAGCACCGGCUAACUACGUGCCAGCCGCCGCGGUAAUAC
rnacentral:rRNA from 1 species